UACGGAGGGUGCGAGCGUUGUCCGGAAUCAUUGGGCGUAAAGGGCGCGUAGGUGGCCCGGUCAGCGUGCGGUGAAAGCUCGGGGCUCAACCCCGAGUCGGCCGUGCGAACUGCUGGGCUUGAGCACUGUAGAGGCAGGCGGAAUUCCGGGUGUAGCGGUGGAAUGCGUAGAGAUCCGGAGGAAGACCGGUGGUGAAGGCGGCCUGCUGGGCAGUUUCUGACACUGAGGCGCGACAGCGUGGGGAGCAAACAGGGAUUAGAA
rnacentral:rRNA from 1 species